UUUGAAGUCUGACCUGCCCAAUGAUGAAUAUUUAAUGGCCGCAGUAUUUUGACUGUGCAAAGGUAGCAUAAUCAUUAGUUUUUUAAUUAAAAGCUGGAAUGAAUGGUUUGAUGAAAGAAGAACUGUCUCAGGAUUAUUGAUUUAGAAAUUUAUUUUUGAGUUAAAAAGCUUAAAUGUUUUAAAAAGACGAGAAGACCCUAUAGAGUUUUAUACCUUUAAAAUAAAUAUUAUUUUUGGUUUUUUAUUUAUUUUUAUUAUUUUGGUGUUUCGUUGGGGUGACGUGAAAAUUUAGUUAACUUUUUAUAGUAAAAACAUUAAUUAAUGAAUUAAUGAUCCUUGUGUUUGGAUUAAUAGAGAAAAUUACCUUAGGGAUAACAGCGUAAUUUUUUUAGAGAGUUCUUAUCGAAAAAAAAGAUUGCGACCUCGAUGUUGGAUUAAAAUAAAUUUUUGGUGUAGAAGCUUGAAAAUUGGGUCUGUUCGACCUUUGAAAUUUUACAUGAUCUGAGUUUAAACCGGCGUGAGCCAGGUUGGUUUCUAUCUUUUAGUUACCAAAAUGUUUUAGUACGAAAGGACCAAACAUUAAAAUUAUAUUUUAUUUUUUGAGUGAUUUUGUUAUUUUGGCAGAAUAGUGCAAUAAAUUUAGAAUUUAUGUAUGUAAGUUGAUUACAGAUAACAUUGUUUAUUAAGGAUUUAUUAAGUGUUUUUAUUUCUAUGUUAAUUUUAAUUGUUUGUGUUUUAGUGGGGGUUGCUUUUUUA
rnacentral:rRNA from 1 species